GAUGAACGCUGGCGGCGUGCCUAAUACAUGCAAGUCGAGCGAACAGACGCGGAGCUUGCUCCUCUGACGUUAGCGGCGGACGGGUGAGUAACAUGUGGAUAACCUCCCUAUAAGACUGGGAUAACUACGGGAAACCGGAGCUAAUCCCGGAUAAUAUAUUGCACCGCAUGGUUCAAUAGUGAAAGACGGUUUUGCUGUCACUUCUAGAUGGAUCUGCGCCGCAUUAGCUAGUUGGUAAGGUCACGGCUUACCAAGGCAACGAUGCGUAGCCGACCUGCGAGGGUGGUCAGCCACACUGGAACGGAGACACGGCCCAGACUCCUACGGGAGGCACCAAGAGUGAAUCGUCCGCAAUGGGCGAAAGCCGGAGGGAGCAACGCCGCGUGAGUGAGGAAGGUCUUCGGAUCGUAAAACUCUGUUAUUAGGGAAGAACAAAUGUGUAAGUAACUAUGCACGUCUUGACGGUACCUAAUCAGAAAGCCACGGCUAACUACGGG
rnacentral:rRNA from 1 species